rnacentral:tRNA from 2 species
UCCCUGGUGGCUCAGAGGUUAAAGCGUCUGCCUGGAAUGCAGGAGACCCAGGUUCGAUCCCUGGGUGGGGAA